rnacentral:lncRNA from 10 species
GAUCUUUACAGUAUCAAACCAGAGGUGGCUCUUACUAUGUCAGCCUGAUACCCACCUGACUAGACCAGGGGAGAUUUUUAUUUAAGGGCUGGACCUAGCUGGCCUUGUAUUAUACCCAGAUUUCAAGGUAAAUCCAAAUGUGAGCGGCAUUCUAGAAUCCAUGGAGGCCCCCAAAGGAAGACAAGCUUUCAUCCUUGCCAGCUGGUUAAGAAUACACAUUUCUGCACUCUGUUGGGCCCCUGUGGAAGAACUCUGAACCCUUCUCCAGAACAAGGGCUCUUGGCCAAUUCCUGGUAUUUUUAGAAAAUCAGCCUGUAAAGACUUUGCCCCCGUGGCUACCAGAGCACUGUAGUGGUGAUCAUUUUAAAAGCCAUAGAGGUAAUUUCUGACUAAAUGAUAUCCUAGGCAGACUCAAAAAUUGUUUCUUGAACUGAAGGGUUGC